UGGCUCACCAUGAACGCUAGCGACAGGCUUAACACAUGCAAGUCGAGGGGCAGCGGGGGUGAUGGCUUGCCAUCGCCUGCCGGCGACCGGCGCACGGGUGAGUAACACGUAUGCAACCUGCCCGCCACAGGGGGAUAAGCGGAAGAAAUUCCGUCUAAUACCGCGUGACGCGGCGCCGGGGCAUCCCGGUGCCGCCAAAGGGAUUACCGGUGGCGGAUGGGCAUGCGGCGCAUUAGCUAGUCGGCGGGGUAACGGCCCACCGAGGCGACGAUGCGUAGGGGUUCUGAGAGGAAGGUCCCCCACACUGGUACUGAGACACGGACCAGACUCCUACGGGAGGCAGCAGUGAGGAAUAUUGGUCAAUGGGCGCGAGCCUGAACCAGCCAAGUCGCGUGAGGGAUGACGGUCCUACGGAUUGUAAACCUCUUUUGCCGGGGAGCAAGCGUGCGUUCGUGAACGCGCGUCGAGAGUACCCGGAGAAAAAGCAUCGGCUAACUCCGUGCCAGCAGCCGCGGUAAUACGGAGGAUGCGAGCGUUAUCCGGAUUUAUUGGGUUUAAAGGGUGCGUAGGCGGGAUGCCAAGUCAGCGGUAAAAAUGCGGUGCUCAACGCCGUCGAGCCGUUGAAACUGGCGUUCUUGAGUGGGCGAGAAGUAUGCGGAAUGCGUGGUGUAGCGGUGAAAUGCAUAGAUAUCACGCAGAACUCCGAUUGCGAAGGCAGCAUACCGGCGCCCUACUGACGCUGAGGCACGAAAGCGUGGGUAUCGAACAGGAUUAGAUACCCUGGUAGUCCACGCAGUAAACGAUGAAUGCUAACUGUCCGGCUCGAAUGAGCGCUGGGCGGUACAGCGAAAGCGUUAAGCAUUCCACCUGGGGAGUACGCCGGCAACGGUGAAACUCAAAGGAAUUGACGGGGGCCCGCACAAGCGGAGGAACAUGUGGUUUAAUUCGAUGAUACGCGAGGAACCUUACCCGGGCUCAAACGCAGGAUGACGGGUCCCGAAAGGGGUCUUUCUUCGGACAUUCUGCGAGGUGCUGCAUGGUUGUCGUCAGCUCGUGCCGUGAGGUGUCGGCUUAAGUGCCAUAACGAGCGCAACCCCUGUCCACAGUUGCCAGCAGGUAAAGCUGGGGACUCUGUGGAGACUGCCGGCGCAAGCUGCGAGGAAGGCGGGGAUGACGUCAAAUCAGCACGGCCCUUACGUCCGGGGCGACACACGUGUUACAAUGGCAGGUACAGCGGGAUGCCACGGGGCGACCCGGCGCUGAACCCGAAAACCUGUCUCAGUUCGGAUUGGAGUCUGCAACCCGACUCCAUGAAGCUGGAUUCGCUAGUAAUCGCGCAUCAGCCACGGCGCGGUGAAUACGUUCCCGGGCCUUGUACACACCGCCCGUCAAGCCAUGGAAGCCGGGGGUACCUGAGUGCGUGACCGCGAGGAGCGCCCUAGGGUAAAACCGGUGACUGGGGCUAAGUCGUAACAAGGUAGCCGU
rnacentral:rRNA from 1 species